rnacentral:rRNA from 1 species
UACGUAGGGGGCAAGCGUUGUCCGGAAUCAUUGGGCGUAAAGAGCGCGUAGGCGGCCCUGUAAGUCCGCUGUGAAAGUCAAGGGCUCAACCCUUGAAUGCCGGUUGAUACUGUCGGGCUAGAGUCCGGAAGAGGCGAGUGGAAUUCCCGGUGUAGCGGUGAAAUGCGCAGAUAUCGGGAGGAACACCAAUGGCGAAGGCAGCCCCCUGGGCCAACACUGACGCUCAGGCACGAAAGCGUGGGGAGCAAACAGG